rnacentral:rRNA from 1 species
AGAACGAACGCUGGCGGCAUGCCUAACACAUGCAAGUCGAACGCUCUUGGGGCUUCGGUUCCAAGGGAGUGGCGCACGGGUGAGUAGCGCGUGGGAACCUGCCCUGGAGUGGGGGAUAACCGAGGGAAACUUCGGCUAAUACCGCAUGCGCCCGGGAAACCGGGGAAAGAUUUAUCGCUCUAGGAGGGGCCCGCGUCGGAUUAGCUAGUUGGUGGGGUAACGGCCUACCAAGGCUUUGAUCCGUAGCUGGUCUGAGAGGAUGAUCAGCCACACUGGGACUGAGACACGGCCCAGACUCCUACGGGAGGCAGCAGUGGGGAAUAUUGGACAAUGGGCGCAAGCCUGAUCCAGCAAUGCCGCGUGAGUGAUGAAGGCCUUCGGGUUGUAAAGCUCUUUCGCACGCGAGGAUGAUGACGCUAGCGUGAGAAGAAGCCCCGGACUAACUUCGUGCCAGCAGGCGC